rnacentral:rRNA from 1 species
GCAGAAAAAGCACCGGCUAACUACGUGCCAGCAGCCGCGGUAAUACGUAGGGUGCAAGCGUUGUCCGGAAUUAUUGGGCGUAAAGAGCUCGUAGGCGGUUUGUCGCGUCUGCUGUGAAAUCCCGAGGCUCAACCUCGGGUCUGCAGUGGGUACGGGCAGACUAGAGUGCGGUAGGGGAGAUUGGAAUUCCUGGUGUAGCGGUGGAAUGCGCAGAUAUCAGGAGGAACACCGAUGGCGAAGGCAGAUCUCUGGGCCGUAACUGACGCUGAGGAGCGAAAGCAUGGGGAGCGAACAGGAUUAGAUACCCUGGUAGUCCAUGCCGUAAACGUUGGGAACUAGAUGUGGGGACCAUUCCACGGUCUCCGUGUCGCAGCUAACGCAUUAAGUUCCCCGCCUGGGGAGUACGGCCGCAAGGCUAAAACUCAAAGGAAUUGACGGGGGCCCGCACAAGCGGCGGAGCAUGCGGAUUAAUUCGAUGCAACGCGAAGAACCUUACCAAGGCUUGACAUAUAC